UACAGUUGGAAGCCUACCACGUAUUGGAUUACCCGACACUUGCACAUUGCUGCAGAGACACCGCAGGCGUUAGGUUCACAGUUCACCAGAGCAAAACCGCAGCACCAGAAAAAGCGCAAGCAAGAACCAGCAUGUUUGGCAGCACAUCAACGUCCAAGGAACGCAAUGGAGAGAAGCCCGUUUCCGCUUCCGGGUAUGUGGACUAUGCGGAACCUUACGAGAGCAGCGAUCAACCCAAGCAGCAGUCGAGCUCAGAGUUUGUACCACGCUCCACGGUGGAGCAAGUGAAUCCGCCAGCUACACAACAACGAGCUCAAGCGAAUGCUAACUACGCUCAGCCUAAUCCCAGUUACAACACAGACCCAGAGCGACGUGUUCCGCAGCCUGUAACUUACACAGAACCUGAUCGCAUUGCUGUCCAGCGGGCACAGCCUAAUCCCAGCUACGUUCAGCCCAAUCCCGUUCAUGUCGACGCGGAACGCAGUGUGCCACAGCGAGCACAACAACCCGGUGCCGACUUCACUCGACUGCGCAGCAAUGUGCUGCCCGUGGAGCAGGCGCAACACAAUCCGAAAGAACGCACGCUUAGCACCAACUACAACACAAAUUCCACAGCCAAUUCAAGUGCCGACUAUGUGCUUAAAGAACGCUCCAAUGCGAAUUUUGUUUUGCCCUCGCAGAUGCGACCAGCGCUUGGUCCGCCCCAGCCGCGACCUCCCUUCGCCGGCGCCCGUCCCAUGGUCGGUGUGGGUCCACGCCCGCCCAUGCCCCCGAAUAUGGUGGGCAGACCGAUGCCACCGCCGCUGCGGCCCACAGACAGCAAGAGCAAUCUGCUGAUGGGUCCGCCACCGCCCAUGAGACCGGGCAUGCCGCCGCCGCAGCUCAGUCAGCAGAGCAUGCAGCAAGCGCGUUUGCCCAAUGCCGGUGGAGGAGGACCUUUAAGUCCACCGGGACAGGGACCGCCCAGGCCACAAGGCCAAGGCUUCCCAUGGUCAGCUGGACCGCCACCGCCUGGCGCAAGACCACCACAGAACAUGCAACGACCGCCGCCGCCAACAUUUGCACGUCCCAUGCCCGGGCAGCCGUUGCAGGCGCCCUUCCGACCCCAGCUCUACAAUCCACAGGGGCCACAGGGGCAACCCCAACAGCAGCAGCAGCAGCAGCCGCCGCAUCAACAGCUGCCACAACAGCUGCGACCACCGUCGUCGGCGGGCAUGCACAACGAUAAUGAUGAUGAUGAUGUCAUCAUGGGUCAGGCGGUGACGCCGCUGAAGACGUUCAACAUGCGCAGCGAUCCGAUGGGUUCGCCGCUGCUGGAGGAAACGGAGCCACCAUUUGACACCAGCACACCGUCGCCCACAGAUGCGUUGCUUAAGAAAGGUGACAAUGACAGCGGCGUGGAUGAGUCCACUCAAGAGAAGGAUCGCAACGGACCGAAUUCACCGAGUUCACCGGUUAAGACGCCCACAUCGAGCUCCUCGAAGCCAGACAAGUCGGGCAUCUCCAGGCCACCGAGUGCCACACCAUCGAAUAAAUCAGCAUCCAAGUCGCGCAGCACCUCCAAGAAUCGUCUGCUGCUCAAGACACCCGAACCCGAGCCGGCCAAGAAAGUUCCAAUGAACAAGGUACAGGUUGGCCAUGCGCCGUCGCCCAAUCUGAAGGCGGUACGUUCGAAAAUCGGUUCGCUGGAUAAUGCCACCUACAAACCAGGCGGCGGUAAUGUCAAAAUCGAGUCGAAGAAGAUCGACAUUAAGGCUGCACCACGCAUCGAGGCCAAGAACGACAAAUAUAUGCCCAAAGGUGGCGAGAAGAAGAUAGUUACAACAAAGUUGCAGUGGAAUGCCAAGUCGAAAAUUGGCUCAUUGGACAAUGCGGCACAUAAGCCUGGCGGCGGCGACAAGAAGAUCGAGACACUGAAAAUGAACUUCAAUGACAAGGCCAAGUCAAAGGUUGGCUCCAAGGACAAUGUGAAGCAUCAGCCCGGCGGUGGCGACAUCAAGGAUAACGACGCAAAGGAUAUACAAUCGCAAAAAAUAGAAAUUAAGGCACAAAGCAAAGUUGGCUCUUUGGAUAAUGUAAAGCACAAGCCCGGUGGCGGUGAAAAGAAGAUUUUCGAUGAUAAGGAUUAUUUGAAAAAUGUUGAACACUCUGUUGCACUGACAACACCACCAACACAGGAAUAUAUAUACACAUUUUAUUAGUCAUAGUCAUACUACGAAAAGAUAUACAUAUAUUUAACUAAAGUGCAUUAAAUUCGAAAUCCGUUUACUCGUACAUACUAUAUAUACGACAUACUACAACAAAUAUUACGUCCAUUAUUGCCUACUCUACGUUUUUAUAUUAUGAAAAGAUGCACUACUUUCGAUAAAGUCCUAGUCCACAACCAUCCAUGACGGCUUCAACAAGCGGCGCUGAUGAAAAUUUGAAUCAACAAAGUUAAAUCAAAAACAAAAAACAAAAAAAUGUCCAAAAUGCAUGUUGAGAAAAAUGAAAACUCACACAGAUACACACACUCACACUCAUACAACAAUUUAUACAGAUACAAUUGAUCAAAGCUUAUUUGAAAUGUAAUUUGUAAGCAAAAAAGUUACACAAAAUGAAAGGUAUGCAAUAACUCCCACAAACCACAAUAGAGUAUUUAAUCAAUUUGAUAAUUGAAUUGUGCAAGCACACACACAAAAACACAAUCACACACACACACAGUUAUACAAUCUGAUAUUGAAAAACAAAAAACAAAAAAAAUUAAAAAGUAUAUGACUAGUUGAUCAAUGCACUAUUUAUCAAAAAAAAAGGAUAACAAGGCAAAUGCAUAAACUAUAUAUAAUCUAUACAUAAAAUAUGCAAAAAAAUUCAUAUACUAUAUACAUAUAUAUAUAUAUAUUGAAAAGAAAAAAAGUAUCUAAAGAGUUAAGACAAUUAUACAAAAAAGACAUAUAGAUAAUUGCAUAAAAUAUCUGUGGCUUUACGUGUAGUUAAAUGUGUUGAACGAUUCAUAUUUUCACUCCUAACGCGUAAUGUUGAAAUAUUAAAUUUGAAUUUAAAUAUCAGAAUCACAAUCAGAAUCAAGAUACAAUUGAAGCUCUUCAGCAAUUUAGAUACUUUUGCAAAACAUAAACAAAGAAAAGAAAAAAACGAAAUCAAAAUCAAUAUAAACCGAACCGAAGCGAAGAUAGCAAGAACAAUUUACCACUGAUUAAGCAUACUAUUAUAUUUUAUAAUUUGUAAUAUGUAAUUUGUAAUUUGUACGAGUAUCCUCUUAAUACAUAGGAAAAAUGCAUCAUUCUCACAACUUAUUUACACCCCUGUUACAAAAUGUAAGAAUGCAAAUUGAAAUGCAAAUUAAAAACGUAAUAAAAAAACAACAUUUUUUCAUUUAUCAAAAA